GCCAGCGACAAUACCACGUUGAAUGUACGUAGCAUGUACCUGUACCAGUUCUCCACGGAUCACAAAAGUUAACCAACGUUGUGCGUGGUUGGUAGUCGGAUGGGUGACCAUCCAGGCAAUUGUGUGCUGCUGACU
rnacentral:rRNA from 1 species